UACGAAGGGGGCGAGCGUUGUUCGGGUUUACUGGGCGUAAAGGGCGCGCAGGCGGCUAUCCAAGUCAGGCGUGAAAGCCCCGGGCUUAACCUGGGAGGUGCGUCUGGGACUGGGUGGCUAGAGAUCGGGAGAGGAGAGUGGAAUUCCCAGUGUAGAGGUGAAAUUCGUAGAUAUUGGGAAGAACACCAGUGGCGAAGGCGACUUACUGGACUGUAACUGACGCUGAGGCAUGAAAGCGUGGGGAGCAAACAGG
rnacentral:rRNA from 1 species